rnacentral:rRNA from 1 species
AUUGAACGCUGGCGGCAGGCCUAACACAUGCAAGUCGAGCGGAGCGGCGGACGGGGGAGUAAUGCCUAGGAAUCUGCCAGGUAGUGGGGGAAAAGGUCAGGAACCGGGAGACAAUACCGCAUACUAUCAGAUGAGGCUAGGUCGGCUUGGGUAGGUGGUGGGGUAAAGGCCUACCAAGGCGACGAUCCGUAACUGGACUGAGAGGAGGAUCAGUCACACUGGAAAUGGAACACGGUCCCGACUCCUACGGGAGGCAGCAGUUGGGAAUAUUUGGCAAAUGGCGGAAACCUGAUCCAGCCAUGCCGCGUGUGUGAAGAAGGUCUUCGGAUUGUAAAACACUUUUAGUUGGGAAGCGGUACCAUAAGAAUAAGCACACGCUUACUUCGUGCCAGCAGCCGCGGUAAUAC